GACGAAGCGACGCCGCGUGGGGGAAGAAGGCCUUCGGGUUGUAAACCUCUGUCAGGAGCCAGGAAAUGCAGGUGUGUGAAUAUCGUCCCUGUUUGACUACAGCUCCAGAGGAAGCCAUGGCUAACUCUGUGUCAGCAGCCGCGGUAAUACAGAGAUGGCAAGCGUUGUUCGGAAUCAUUGGGCGUAAAGCGCACGUAGGCGGCCUAGCAAGUCGGAUGUGAAAUCCCCUGGCUUACCCAGGGAACUGCAUUCGAUACUGCAAGGCUUGAGGACAGGAGGGGAGAGUGGAACUUCUGGUGGAGCGGUGAAAUGCGUAGAUAUCAGAGGGAACACCGGUGGCGAAAGCGACUCUCUGGCCUGUAUCUGACGCUAAGUGUGCGAAAGCUAGGGGAGCAAACGGGAUUAGAUACCCCGGUAGUCCUAGCCGUAAACGAUGGGCACUAAGUAGAGG
rnacentral:rRNA from 1 species